UACGUAGGGUGCAAGCGUUAAUCGGAAUUACUGGGCGUAAAGCGCGCGCAGGCGGUGAUGUAAGACAGGUGUGAAAUCCCCGGGCUUAACCUGGGAACUGCAUUUGUGACUGCAUCGCUGGAGUGCGGCAGAGGGGGAUGGAAUUCCGCGUGUAGCAGUGAAAUGCGUAGAUAUGCGGAGGAACACCGAUGGCGAAGGCAAUCCCCUGGGCCUGCACUGACGCUCAUGCACGAAAGCGUGGGGAGCAAACAGG
rnacentral:rRNA from 1 species